GUCGAGGGGCAGCAUGGUCUUAGCUUGCUAAGACUGAUGGCGACCGGCGCCCGUAAGAGUAACACGUAUCCAACCUGCCGUCUACUCUUGGACAGCCUUCUGAAAGGAAGAUUAAUACAAGAUGGCAUCAUGAGUCCGCAUGUUCACAUGAUUAAAGGUAUUCCGGUAGACGAUGGGGAUGCGUUCCAUUAGAUAGUAGGCGGGGUAACGGCCCACCUAGUCUUCGAUGGAUAGGGGUUCUGAGAGGAAGGUCCCCCACAUUGGAACUGAGACACGGUCCAAACUCCUACGGGAGGCAGCAGUGAGGAAUAUUGGUCAAUGGGCGAGAGCCUGAACCAGCCAAGUAGCGUGAAGGAUGACUGCCCUAUGGGUUGUAAACUUCUUUUAUAAAGGAAUAAAGUCGGGUAUGGAUACCCGUUUGCAUGUACUUUAUGAAUAAGGAUCGGCUAACUCCGUGCCAGCAGCCGCGGUAAUACGGAGGAUCCGAGCGUUAUCCGGAUUUAUUGGGUUUAAAGGGAGCGUAGAUGGAUGUUUAAGUCAGUUGUGAAAGUUUGCGGCUCAACCGUAAAAUUGCAGUUGAUACUGGAUAUCUUGAGUGCAGUUGAGGCAGGCGGAAUUCGUGGUGUAGCGGUGAAAUGCUUAGAUAUCACGAAGAACUCCGAUUGCGAAGGCAGCCUGCUAAGCUGCAACUGACAUUGAGGCUCGAAAGUGUGGGUAUCAAACAGGAUUAGAUACCCUGGUAGU
rnacentral:rRNA from 1 species